rnacentral:rRNA from 1 species
GACGAACGCUGGCGGCGUGCUUAACACAUGCAAGUCGAGCGGUAAGGCCCUUUCGGGGUACACGAGCGGCGAACGGGUGAGUAACACGUGGGUGACCUGCCCUCAGCUCUGGGAUAAGCCUGGGAAACCGGGUCUAAUACUGGAUAUGACUCCAUGACGCAUGUUGUGGGGUGGAAAGCCUUGUGCGGCUGAGGAUGGGCCCGCGGCCUAUCAGCUUGUUGGUGGGGUGANGGCCUACCAAGGCGACGACGGGUAGCCGGCCUGAGAGGGCGACCGGCCACACUGGGACUGAGACACGGCCCAGACUCCUACGGGAGGCAGCAGUGGGGAAUCUUGCGCAAUGGGCGAAAGCCUGACGCAGCGACGCCGCGUGGAGGA